rnacentral:rRNA from 1 species
UCCAGACUCCUACGGGAGGCAGCAGUGGGGAAUAUUGCACAAUGGGGGAAACCCUGAUGCAGCGACGCCGCGUGAGUGAAGAAGUAAUUCGUUAUGUAAAGCUCUAUCAGCAGGGAAGAAAAUGACGGUACCUGAGUAAGAAGCCCCGGCUAACUACGUGCCAGCAGCCGCGGUAAUACGUAGGGGGCAAGCGUUAUCCGGAUUUACUGGGUGUAAAGGGCGUGUAGGCGGGACUGCAAGUCAGAUGUGAAAACCAUGGGCUCAACCCAUGGCCUGCAUUUGAAACUGUAGUUCUUGAGUGUUGGAGAGGCAGGCGGAAUUCCGUGUGUAGCGGUGAAAUGCGUAGAUAUACGGAGGAACACCAGUGGCGAAGGCGGAUUGCUGGACAGUAACUGACGCUGAGGCGCGAAAGCGUGGGGAGCAAACAGGAUUAGAUACCCGUGUACU